AUAAAAAAAUGUCAUAGUAUAGUAAGGUGUCGAAAAUGGUCAAAAAAUGUCAUAGUAUAGUAAGGGGUCAAAAAUGGUCAAAAAAUGUCAUAGUAUAGUAUGGUGUCGAAAAUGGUCAAAAAAUGUCAUAGUAUAGUAAGGGGUCAAAAAUGGUCAAAAAAUGUCAUAGUAUAGUAAGGGGUCAAAAAUGGUCAAAAAAUGUCAUAGUAUAGUAUGGUGUCGAAAAUGGUCAAAAAAUGUCAUAGUAUAGUAAGGGUCAAAAAUGGUCAAAAAAUGUCAUAGUAUAGUAUGAUGUCAAAAACCAUCAAAAAAUGUUAUAGUAUAGUAUGGCAUCAAAAAUGGUCAAAAAAUGUCAUAGUAUAGUAUGGUGUCGAAAAUGGUCAAAAAAUGUCAUAGUAUAGUAAGGGGUCAAAAAUGGUCAAAAAAUGUCAUAGUAUAGUAUGGUGUCGAAAAUGGUCAAAAAAUGUCAUAGUAUAGUAAGGGGUCAAAAAUGGUCAAAAAAUGUCAUAGUAUAUUAAGGCGUCAAAAAUGUCAUAAAAAUGUCAUAGUAUAGUAUGGUGUCGAAAAUGGUCAAAAAAUGUCAUAGUAUAGUAUGGUGUCAAAAAUGGUCAAAAAAUGUCAUAGUAUAGUAUGGUGUCGAAAAUGGUCAAAAAAUGUCAUAGUAUAGUAUGGUGUCGAAAAUGGUCAAAAAAUGUCAUAGUAUAGUAUGGGGUCAAAAAUGGUCAAAAAAUAUGAUAGUAUAGUAUGGUGUCGAAAAUGGUCAAAAAAUGUCAUAGUAUAGUAUGGUGUCGAAAAUGGUCAAAAAAUGUCAUAGUAUAGUAUGGGUCAAAAAUGGUCAAAAAAUAUGAUAGUAUAGUAUGGUGUCGAAAAUGGUCAAAAAAUGUCAUAGUAUAGUAUGGUGUCAAAAAUGGUCAAAAAAUGUCAUAGUAUAGUAUGGGGUCAAAAAUGGUCAAAAAAUGUCAUAGUAUAGUAAGGGGUCAAAAAUGGUCAAAAAAUGUCAUAGUAUAGUAAGGUGUCAAAAAUGUCAUAAAAAUGUCAUAGUAUAGUAAGGUGUCAAAAAUGUCAUAAAAAUGUCAUAAAAAUGUCAUAGUAUAGAAAGGUGUCAAAAAUGUCAUAAAAUACCAUAAUAUAGUAAAGUGUUGAAAACCAUAAAAAAAGGUCAUAGUAUAGUAAGGCGUCAAAAAUGGUCAAAAAAUGUCAUAAUAG